AAUUGAUAUUAUAUGUGAACUUACAUUAGAAUUUUUGUGAUGAUAAGAUUUAGAACAACAGUUACGUUAUCUGCAAUGUACGAAAAAGAUCUUUCAAUUUUGACGUCACAGCAAUCACAGCGAUACUGAAGCAUUUGCGUGAAGCUGUGUACGAUAGAUGUCUGAACACUCGUAGAAAUACGAUUUAAACCAGUCUCGAUGGUUAAUUUAUAGGAUGGCUUGCCACAGGCCCUGUCAUUGUCAUCUUGUCUAUCAUGACUCAUGUAUUCGGUGUUGCGUUAGCAGUUGAAGCAAAUGCGUGCUCUGGGUGUGUCACACGCCAGACAGGGCAAAUGACUGUGGCUAAACUGCUGAGUGACUGAGGUACUAACAAUAUGGUGGAUGCUCAGAAUAGUAAGCUGGUACCCACUCCAGCACUACUGAAUGUACGGCCCUGAAAUGAUAGCAGUAGAUAAUAAAAUAUGCAACUUUUGUUAAGGUGUGUGAAAUGUGAGGAUCUCAUGAAGAUGGCAAUAUUGUCCUUUUGAGCUUUUAAGCCAUGAGGACUCGUAGAUAGACACCUUUAGGUCCACCUGGGAUCUCAACCCAGAAGAACAUCAUCAUUGUUUUGUUCAGAGCAUUAUGUCCCAACUGUUGGAGUCGGGAGGAGCAUUUCCAGAUGAUGAAACGAUAUUGUACCUGGCAGAAAUCAUCGACGCUAUGGAUUAUCUGCAUAAGGGUGAUUGUGCAUAUUCACAGGACGUCACAAGUCAGUACGUGGUGCCAGAGAUAUUUAUCGGUGAAGGCUUCAGCUAUGUAAGUUUCUUGUCCAUUAACAAUAUUAUAAUAAUGAGCUCUUGGUUUUAUGUGACUCAACCUAACGCGUGAUUA